ACGGAAGGCAGCAGUGGGGAAUAUUGGGCAAUGGGCGAAAGCCUGACCCAGCGACGCCGCGUGAGGGAAGAAGGUCUUCGGAUUGUAAACCUUAGUCAACAGGGAAGAAGAAAGUGACGGUACCUGUGGAGGAAGCCACGGCUAACUACGUGCCAGCAGCCGCGGUAAUACGUAGGUGGCAAGCGUUAUCCGGAUUUACUGGGUGUAAAGGGUGUGUAGGCGGGAUUGCAAGUCAGAUGUGAAAACUAUGGGCUUAACCCAUAGCCUGCAUUUGAAACUGCAGUUCUUGAGAGUCGGAGAGGUAAAUGGAAUUCCCGGUGUAGCGGUGAAAUGCUUAGAGAUCGGGAGGAACACCAGUGGCGAAGGCGGAUUACUGGACGACAACUGACGCUGAGACACGAAAGCGUGGGGAGCAAACAGGAUUAGAUACCCUGGUA
rnacentral:rRNA from 1 species